rnacentral:rRNA from 1 species
UACGAAGGGGGCUAGCGUUGUUCGGAAUUACUGGGCGUAAAGCGCGCGUAGGCGGUUUUGCAAGCCAGAGGUGAAAUGCCUGAGCUCAACUCAGGAAUGGCCUUUGGGACUGCGAGGCUUUGAGGACUGGAGAGGUGAGUGGAAUUCCGCGUGUAGCAGUGAAAUGCGUAGAUAUGCGGAGGAACACCGAUGGCGAAGGCAAUCCCCUGGGCCUGCACUGACGCUCAUGCACGAAAGCGUGGGGAGCAAACAGG